rnacentral:rRNA from 1 species
UACGUAGGGGGCAAGCGUUGUCCGGAUUUAUUGGGCGUAAAGAGCGUGUAGGCGGCCGUACAGGUCAGCUGUGAAAACUCGAGGCUCAACCUCGAGACGUCGGUUGAAACCGUACGGCUAGAGCCCGGAAGAGGAGAGUGGAAUUCCUGGUGUAGCGGUGAAAUGCGCAGAUAUCAGGAGGAACACCAAUGGCGAAGGCAGCUCGCUGGGACGUGACUGACGCUGAGACGCGAAAGCGUGGGGAGCAAACAGG